AUAGAGUUAGUUGGUCUAUAUUUUUUCACUUAGUUUAUAUCAAUUAUAGGUGGUGAAAAAAAAACAAAAUAUUUUCUUUUACUACUUUUUAGAAUUAAUACACAAUAUACAUUAAUUUUAUGUUCUGUUAAAUUUAAAAGGGCUUUUUAAAGCCCAAUGCCUCCAUAUACUAAAUAAUUAUUUGCACUUUAUUAUUUUUAAUUAGCAACCUGACAGCCUCAAGCUGUCAUAAAAAAAGCUUUGUUAGGACCAGCUGCCCAUUAAAAAAGCUUGUUUAGUUUCAUAGUUAACUGACUGGCUUUUUAGAUAAAUUUCUAUUCUGAAGGCAAUCAGAUGCGCCCUCAUACCGUAGUUGUUUUAGUCGUUUUAGUUCUCCUGAGUUCAGGAUCUCAGGCUUCCGUUUCCAUGGGAAUCUACCAGGAUCCAGACCACUACUUUCAUUGUGUCGUUGAUGGAAUAAUCAUGUGGCGUGGUCGAAGUAUAACCCACCCAAAACGGUGUGAGGAACUGUUGUGCUCAUUUAAUAGUGCCGUGAUGAGACGAACAUGCCCUCCCGGCCAAAUAAAGUUUGGAAAAAUCAAGGCUCCGAAAGCUAAGUAUCCCGCCUGCUGUCUAGAGUAGGUUCAAUUUUAUUUAUAGAACGUUAAAUAAUUAAAAACUCUGGAUAAGAACUAAAUAUGAGAACCUACUUAUUAUAUUUACCGGCGUAUUCGAAGAACCUCUAGUCCGAGUAAGUCCAUGAAAUAUCAAGUACUAUAUGUAACAGUUUGUUUUUAUAACUGAGCAAGGUUUAAUAAUCGGCAUGGUAUAUAAGGGGUGAAAAUAUUGCAACAUCUUUUAGAAUUUACUAUAUUAAAGAGGGAUAACUAUGCGUCUGACUACUAUUUUUGGUGAUCGCUGUAUUUCUGAUUGUACACUCCAAGGCAGCUGUUAUGACUGCGUACUUCAGUGAUCCAGCUUAUCCUUGAAAGUGUGUCUAUAAUGGCGUUGUUUUAAGAGCGGGUGAAACGAGGACUGUCAAAUUUUGUUAACUCUUCGAUUGCGGCCAAAAUGCCUUUGGAAAUGUCGAAUCCGUAUCCUGUGAUUUUAGGUUAGAAGCUACGCAUCACGGAAAGCUCAUUAUCCCAAUUGCUGCAGGCGUUCUCGAUCUUCAAAACCGUGUUGUGGGUGUUAUUUAAAC